rnacentral:rRNA from 1 species
UACGUAGGUUGCAAGCGUUGUCCGGAUUUAUUGGGCGUAAAGAGCGUGUAGGCGGCCAGGUAGGUCUGCUGUGAAAACUCGAGGCUUAACCUCGAGAUGUCGGCGGAAACCAUCUGGCUAGAGUCCGGAAGAGGAGAAUGGAAUUCCUGGUGUAGCGGUGAAAUGCGCAGAUAUCAGGAAGAACACCAGUGGCGAAGGCGGCUCUCUGGGACGGUACUGACGCUGAGACGCGAAAGCGUGGGGAGCGAACAGG